GACGAACGCUGGCGGCGUGCCUAAUACAUGCAAGUCGAACGGAGUGGGGACGGGUGAGUAACACGGGGGUAACCUCCCAUUAGGGGGGGUAACACUUGGAAACAGGUGCUAAACCGAUACUGAUGGAUGGACCCGCGGUGCAUUAGCUAGUUGGUGAGGUAACGGCUUACCAAGGCAACGAUGCAUAGCCGACCUGAGUGGGUGAUCGGCCACACUGGAACUGAGAAACGGCCCAGACUCCUACGGGAGGCAGCAGUAGGGAAUCUUCGGCAAUGGACGAAAUUCUGAUCGAGCAACGCCGCGUGUGUGAAGAAGGUUUUCGGAUCGUAAAACUCUGUUAUUAGAGAAGCGGUAUCUACCCAGAAAGCCACGGCUAACUACGUGCCAGCAGCCGCGGUAAUAC
rnacentral:rRNA from 1 species